UCCGGUGGUUCUGAAUGGAAGGGCCAUCGCUCAACGGAUAAAAGGUACUCCGGGGAUAACAGGCUGAUACCGCCCAAGAGUUCAUAUCGACGGCGGUGUUUGGCACCUCGAUGUCGGCUCAUCACAUCCUGGGGCUGAAGUAGGUCCCAAGGGUAUGGCUGUUCGCCAUUUAAAGUGGUACGCGAGCUGGGUUUAGAACGUCGUGAGACAGUUCGGUCCCUAUCUGCCGUGGGCGCUGGAGAACUGAGGGGGGCUGCUCCUAGUACGAGAGGACCGGAGUGGACGCAUCACUGGUGUUCGGGUUGUCAUGCCAAUGGCACUGCCCGGUAGCUAAAUGCGGAAGAGAUAAGUGCUGAAAGCAUCUAAGCACGAAACUUGCCCCG
rnacentral:rRNA from 1 species